GUAAAGCACCACGUGCCUCCCCCUCCCCCCCGCCCGGAGCGGGUCCCGCGGACGUCGCGCGCCGCUCCCCUGAGGCGCCGAGCGGGAGGGGCGCCGGGAAGGAAGGAAGGAAGCGGGGCACGGGUUGUGCUGUGAGGCGGUGCUGGCCCCCGGGGGUACCCUGGGGGGCGGAAACAGGGUUUUACCCCGCUACCCGUAGCUGCUGCAAACCUGCCGCCCGUCGGUACCUGCGCGCGGGGACUGGCCCUGUCCUUUCCUUUGUACUUGGCGUUUAUAGUCAGUCCUCCUUGCACAGCCGGCAUUAUUCACCUUCUUUUAGGGAGGUUCACAGAAUAGCCGGAGUUGGAAGGGACUUCUGGAGAUCAUCCAGUCCAACCCCCCUGCCAGGGCAGGGUCACCCAGAGCAGGUGACACAGGAAUGCGUCCCGGGGGCUUUGGAAUGUCCCCAGAGAGGGAGACUUCACAACCUCCCUAGGCAGCCUGUUCCAGUGUGCUGCCACCCUCAACGUAAGGGAGUUCUUCCUCAUGUUGGGGUGGGACGUGGGUUUUGGUUUAUGGCCAUUGCCCCUCGUCUUAUCGUUGGGCUCUGCUGAAAAGAGUCUGGCACCAUCCUCUUGGCACCUGCCUGUGAGAUCUUUAUAUGUGUUGAUGGGAUCCCCUCUCGGUCAUUUCUUCUCUAGGUUAACCACUAGGUUGGUAGUAUAUCAAAAUAAAAAGGUAUCUGCCCCCGUGGAGCUCUCAAUGCCGCAGUCCUGCGCACCUCCCUCGGGACAGGGUUUAACUGAACUGUUCCAAAAGAUCACACCUUGCCGAUGGAGCUGCUUUUAACAAAUUAACAUCUCAAUGUGCCGAAGGUUGAGUGGCAAAGUCAAUAAAACAGCCAUUUGUUUCUAUAGAAACUGAACACCUUAGCAGAGAUUGUACCAAGCUCUGAUUUUGAUGGUUCCUUCCACCCCCCCACCCCGAAUUUGCUGCUCUUGCAGCCUGCUCUUGCCUGUUUUCAGGAAAUCAGAAAUUUGGAAAACGGGCUUGGAAUUUUUUAGCAUGUGAGGAAUGCUGGCAAUCACAUGAUAACGGUACCAAAAACCCUCUAGAACCUAGUUCCGUGAGUUAGAAUUAAUUUCUGAUGCUGCAUAAUCAUGCACCCUGAAAAUCUCAGUUUGUUCCUCCACUUUCAGAUCGUAAGGACCUUUGCAACUCCCCAUCUUCCAUUCCCCCUUCUCCUAAGAUCUUUCUCCAGUACAGCCGAAAGGAGCUAAUCCAAGAAUCAGCUGAUGCAGCUGCUUGCUGCCCAGAGAUUUGGGGAGUUUCUGCGGGUUUUUUUUCCAACACGACUAUCAUUAACAUGAGGAAAUGUAGUAAGAAAAGAAAUAUUCAAUUGGUGCGUUCCAGAUUUCUUGUUCUCAGAUGAAGUUUCCCUGUUUGUUCUGUUCUCAAGUGACAGGGAUACUGAAAUGGCUUCAGGAAUACAAAUAAGUAAUUUAGCUUAUCCUGGGACGAAAAUCCUAACAGGUUUCUGGAAAUACACAAGGCAUGAAAUGGGACUCAUUCUGUUUGGUAGUGCAACAGUGCAGUAGCUGUGCUUUUAAAAACUAGUAGGUCCAUGAAUACCUUUUUUUUUCCCCCUGUUGGGACAGAGAGUUUCUGGAUUACUUAGUUCUGAGUCUGGUUGUACCAAAGUUUGUUAGCUUUGCUCUGCUUUUUCCUUCUCCUUUUUUUGUUCUCAGCGUCAGUCUUUAUGCUUCCCCUGAAAACAUGGUGUUUAUUGUAGUGAGAGAGUCUUCUAAGUUGUCUUGACCUCAGUCAUUUUAUCAGAAUCACUUGAAUGUUUUGAUAACCACCUGAAAAGUCUUGCUUCUCAGUUAAUUUUUUUUUCCCAGACAAAAAAUAGAGGAUUUUCCUUUGACAGUCAUUCUUCUUUUCCAUUGAAUAGUAGGAAGACGGGUCACAUGAAUUCCUGCAGACCCCUUGAAAAUGCUGUCAAGAAUUUUUUGUAAGGUUUGGGAAGUUCCAGGUAUUUAUGUUUGGUUUUGUGUCCAAGAUCUAGUUCUCCAAAGCAUUUACAUUUCCAAAUGCUGUAAUUUGUGCAUUGGAAUUCUCUUAGGAGUUGGGCAUAAAGAAGAGAUUUUCAUUACUCACUUCCUUCCAACAUUAAUACACAAGCUGUAAAACUAAUGGGUUAUGGAAACCUCUUAGAUACAGGAAGAGAGCUGGGAAGGCCCAAAGAGGGCACACAUCUGUUAGACCUCAGCAGUCUGCUGCUGGCAUUGCCAGGUAGUCCUUUUCUGUAGCUUUAUUUACAUUAUGUCUGAAUCCCAGUUUUAGCCAUUGCUUGUGGCUUUGCCAAUGCAAACACUCAGCAUGAGCAAAAAUGAAAAAAAAAAUUAAAAUGGAUUCCACUGGAACUUGGGUUCAGAGCCAGAAUAAACUUGAGUAGUGCAAAUGUCAGCUUUUAUUCACACUCAGAGUUUGUAUUGCUGUCUAAAAUGGCAACUAACCCUAAGCAUAGGUGAGAGGACACAAACCCAAGUGCUCAGCUGACGAUGUUGUUAGUCUAACAGGACUUUGGAACAUGGAAGAAGUUCUAGCACACCAUCAGAAGUGCCCAUACUUCCCUAACAGGGAUGUGAGACUGCAUCUUGCUGCUUGACUUUUGGAAUACCAGGAGGUGGCAGCUCAUUGAACGCCUGCCUUGUCUACUGCUGCAGUUCUUGGAAGAUAAUUUGGCAGGUAACAGCUUGAUGGUCCUUUAAUUAUCUGAAACAGCUCCAAAUACAAUUGCUUUCUGAUAGCAGAACUGCUCCUUCUUACAACCUGUGUUUUUAGGAACUUAAAAAUAAAAGACUUUCUAAAUCCUCUGGAUUGUCCCAAUCUCUUGGAUGACAGCAUUUGAUACUGUAAUGGUAUUUAAAAAUUCAUAUUUGCCAAGUCAUGAAAAUCCCCUCAAGAACCAAACUAGAUUUUCUUUCUUUACAAAAUGUAUCUUUAAGACAACGUUGUUUGUCUUGGCCGAAGUAAUUUCACUCCCUGCAUUGCACAGUUCUUCGGUGUAUAGAUGGUGCUAUUCUCAGGUCUACUGGUAAAGCAGCACCUUCCUUGUGAAGGUGCAGCUAUAAAUACACCAACACCCAACCAGCAGAGCAAGUUCCCUGCUGGUAUACUUGUCUGUGCGGGAGUUUUUGCCAGCUUGGAAAUACCACACAAAAUAACUUCUGUGGGAUCACUGCUGUCAUGUCUGAAAUUGAGUUUUGAUGAGAGUCAGCAUUUCCUGAAGUUUUCAGACUGGUAGAAGUGCAUGGAUUAGCAGAGACCUCCGGGGGUCAUCUCAUCCAGCCUCCUGCUCCACAAAUGUCCAUUUCCAGUAGAUCAAGAACUUUCCCAUCAGAAACAGCUUGUGAAUAAUAUGCACUGGGACACCGGGACAGAUUUGCUCCUGACUGCUCCCUAAAUCCACUUGGCAGCUGCAGGCCUGGUGAAUUGCAUGGGAAUUUGUUAGUCCUGGAGGGAGGAGACGUACUGGAGAUGGAAGGAUUGGGGUAAGAGGACUGCAAGGGACUUUGCUCUGUAAACAGUGUGAGCAGAUGCCGGCAGUUGUACCACAGGCAGCCUUGCCUGCGGCUGGUGGGGCGUGGAGAAGUCAGGGAGGAGGCCCUGAGCAGAAGUAAAGGCUUCAGGCAGUGAAGGAGAGCUCCAGUAUGCACUUUCCAGGCUGUUAAUUCCAGAUGUCAACAGACAUGACAUCAGGCUGGCAGCAUAAGAUUGUAUUUUGCUGUGGAAGAAAUGAGGCCAACAUUUCUGGAAAUGUCAGCAAGAAUGCUGUGCAGAAAACUAUAGCUUCUAGAUCGUUCCCAAGGCUGAGGAGAAGUUACUAUAAUGAGCAGCGAAGUACAUUGCAAGGUUUCCAGCACCUUGUGCCACAAACUGAAGCAAUGCAGGUCCCUCAUUCUGCUGCAGUCUUUCCCUUAGCUGCAGUACCAGAAAGAGACUCAGAUAUUCAGAAGUGAUUGUGGUGAGCUUUGACACAUUUUGACAGACAGUCUGCAGAUACACUUGCAUGACUGAAAUGCAUACACAUGGAGUGAAGUACAUCUUUUGAAAUCAGGCAAUACUUCACCUGCCUGAUCUCCCUUCCUCUCUCUUUGUCUGAGCUACUCUGCAUUUUCUCACCUCAGCUCUGCAGUGAAGGAAUCCUGGGCCAGAAAUGAGGAUUCUGCAAGAAAUUUGGCCUACAAGAAAGCCGAAGAGAGUCUUUUUACAAAGGCAUGUAGUGAUAGGAUGUACACUGAGAGAGGUUAGAUUUAGAUAAGAUGUAAGGAAGAAAUUAUUCACUGUGAAGGUAGUGAGGCACUGGAGCAGGUUGCCCAGAGAAGCUGUGGAUGUUUUAUCCCUGGAAGUAUUCAAGACCAGGUUGGGUGGGGCUUUGAGCAAACUGGUAUAGUGGAAGGUGUCCCUGCCCAUGGCAGGGGGAUUGGAGCCUGCUGUGAUCUUUAAGGUCCCUUAUAACACAAAACAUUCAGUGAAUCUGUGAUUUGUUUCUCCGUUCUUUACUAUACAGUUAGGUUUACUUUUUCUGUUUAGGGAAGUUGGCACAGUAUGUCUGGGAUUGAGGUGAAGUGUCUGCUGAGUACUUAGUGGAAUUUGUAGAUCCACUGGUAUCUGGCAGACUGAGAUUUUGUUUUGUCACAUCCCUCGCUUGACUUUGCUCCUCACCUUUGUUGCAGCCCCUUACUUGAGUCCUUCUCUUCCAGCUCCCACAGAGGCACUUAUGAACACCUCUUCCUUCUGACUGGGCAUCCAGGACAUCUCUUCUUGUCCAGUCCCCACCACAAAGUUUACAUGAUCACUUUUAUGUGUGUAUACCAGACCUGUCCACUGACAAAUGCAGCUGAGCAUGGCAAGAGGAGCUCACCAGCCAUCCCGGGCACUGUGCAGGAGCCAAGUGUCCUGGGAAGAGAGGCUGUGGGCAGCCACCUUGUGCAACUGUCCCUGUAAGAAGGUGUGAGCAGAGCUGGUGUGCACAGUGUACACGAGCCUGUGCCUUGUUCCAUCUGUGUGGAGAGAAGCUGUCACAGAAAUGAUGGGAGGCUGGCAAAGAGACCUGACUGCCAAAGGAAGACACUGUUAGUAGCCUGGAGUGUGCAGCCAGUGUUGAAGAGGGGUAUAAAUUUAAUUGGUAACUCAUUUCUUAUUAAAACUGACAGAUUUUUUUCUUCCUAGCAGAACAGACAAGAGUGGAAAGGUUUCACAUAAUCACUGAUUUCACUGAAACUUGACAGCAUUAUCAAGCCCUUUAAAUCUUUUUCAAUUUUAUAUGAAUCCCGUAAAAUAUCAAAACACCAGCAUGUAAACAAAGGACUUCAAUAAGCUUUGUUUGGUAUUUCUAUUAUAUUCCAAUUUGGAAUGAAAGGAGAUGUGAAAUAAUCAACUUUCCCAAGAAAAUGUGAUAUCUGAAACUGUCAAGGAGUCCAGUGACCCCUGCUGAUGGACAAGUCACCUCCUGAAAAGUAUCCUCCUGCUGCAACAAAUCCAGCACACCUACCACAAAGGGAAUUCUUGUUCACAUCCUAUUAGAUGCUCGGGGUCACCCUCCAGGGUGGCAGCUCCAAUUGCUAAUACUGUGUUUUGGAGAGGUACUUUCUGAAGCACACUUAUGGAAAUGUAGAGGUCUUCACUGAUGCUUGAGUAACACAGGCACAUCUCUGACAAGUGGGUAGGCCUUAGCUUCAUCCUGCAGAAGAGAAAACAAAAGACACAUGCAAACUCUUUUCUGCUGAAGAGAACAUGGAUACUGGAGAAAUGAGAGUUCUCAUUUAAAAAGUUCUCUCACACUGCACUAGCACGUUGAUUUCUACUCCUGCAGUAAAGCUGGGUUUCAUUUGUAGGAGACUGACCUGGACAGAAGCAGAUGUCAGACUGAAAACUAACAGCAUCAAAUGCACUUCUUCAUACCAAACAACAUUUUGUUUAUUUACACUUGAGUGGACAAGAUACCUGCAACAGAAGAACAAGACCCAGCAAAUACACUACAUACUGAACUGCACAGGCACCAGUGGCUUUUGGUACUUGUUCUCAGAUGGGGGUUUGUACCCCGCGGGUCUUGUACACAGCUGGAUAAUACCCACCUCUCCCAUUCAUCCACCUGAGAGCUGGAAAGCACAGUCUUCAGCUGCUCCACAGUUUACAUCUCUUCUGAGUGCUCAGUUUGCUGAGCUAUUUGAACUAAAUGGGAGCAGUAGGAAUACAGUAAUGUUGGCUGAAAACAAAAGCUGAAGCAAGGGGAUUUUCAGAGCAGCUUUAGGGCCUGAAAACUGCUGCAAUCUUGUUUGUGCUAGGUGAUGUGGAGUCCUGUAAAUGACUCUGGUUGUGACAGAAAGAAAAAAAAUUCAAUUCAUCAGCAGGCCGUUCUCUUUAAGCAUUGCAACAGCUUUCAUAUACUACCUUUGGGAAGAGUGGAUUGGCUUGAUGGAGGUAGUGAGGAGCUCUGCCAUAGCAUCACCCCCUCCAAAUGUGCAUGAUAGCAAGCAGCCGCUGUGAGUGCAUCUUCCAAGUGGUCUGCACAGCCCCACCAGUGUGAGAGCAAUGGCAGGGGGCACAGCCAGGCCAGGCCCCCCACAUCAGAGGGGCAAUGAGCAGGCAAAAAGCCAGAUCUAGCGGGAAGAAUUUGGAACAUUUUGGGGUUAGAAGAGGCUCAAGAAAGGGCAAGCUUGAUGAAUGAACACAACUGACAUGACAUGGAAGGCACACCAUGGGCUUUUGCUCUCCAAGGCGUGAUGCUGCAGGAUGUUUUGGUCAAGAUCCUGUGUACUUAUGGAAUAAAGCAUCUUUGGCAACAAUGCUGAGUACCAUGGUGCCCUGAAAUGUGCUGGCAAAAGACCUGUCACUGCUUUAAUUGUAUUCAAACAUGCAGAGUUAGAGUGAAUAUUACCAUGAGCAGGUAAGGAAUUGAUUAACUAGUUUGCUAUGAAAAGGAAGGGUGACACUCAUUUUCUUCCACCUGGACUGUUUAGACAAACCUUGUUGUGAAGAAGGACAUUUAUUCAUUCAGGUGUAAGAAAGCAUAGUCCUGCCUCUCAGAUCCUCGCCGCUAUGUGCCAGUGGGAGAGCAGGAGUGGAAGAGAGCCCAGGAUGAUGAAGGAAAACAAGGAAAAGACAACUUUUUAAAAGUUGACUAGGCAUCAGUGUGUCUGAACAGCAGCAUGAGGAGUCAGUGCAAAACAUUCAAUGAAUCAUUUAAAUUUGCACUGGAGGAAUUCAAUCGCUCCAUUAUGAAUUUCAAGUGGAGAAAGGAUUCCUUGAAGAAAUACAUAAAAAGCAGUUAUUGAUAUAACACGAAUAUUUUUUCCCAUGAAGGUUAAAGAGUGUUAAAUAUGUCAGUAAAACCAAGAGAACAUCAAAGGAUAUCUCAUUUACAUAAACAGUGUGUUGGCAAUCCAGAAAUACCAUUUCCAGGAGUUAUUCCUCAGGUUUGUAUGGGAAGUCAAUGCUGCUCCAAGGAGCAGGAGGCUGAGCUGGAGCCUGUCGCCCUGGGUCUGCUCUAAGGCUUUCAGCAAUACUUGGCUGGACACCUAGGUGCACAGUUACAUGGAUAAUUACUUCUGUUCCAUAUGGAAAUUAGGAGAGGGGAAAAUGAUCAUUAUUAUCCAUAUUGGUUACCUGAUUGCAGUGUGUGGCUGAAGUGCUCUGUGUGCAAUUGCACUCUCAUCAUUUAAACAGCAUCUGGCUGAUCCAAACUGGGCUUAAAGUGAUAUCCUUACACCCCACUUAAGAAGGCAUUUGGAGUGUUAGGAGAUUCUGGAUGAUACCUGUAAAUCAGUACAUCAGACACUGUCAAAACUUGACAGGUCUGAAAAUAUAUUGACCAAACUCUGAAUUGAUCAGUUCUUGCUGAACUUGAUCUGUUCUUGCUCAAAAGAAAUCAAGAGAAACUUUGAAAGAAUGGUCAAUUCAGUCAUUAUGUCUGAAAGGACAAUGAAGACAGCAGUGCUCCAGCCCUGGGAGUUAGAUUUCGGGGUUUUGGGGUUGGGUUUUUUGGUUGUGGGGGGCUCUGGAGGGGGUGUUUUUUGUUUUGGGUUGUUUUUUCAAGUUUCAGAUCAUUUGGAGUAUCCUAAAGCCCAUCUCUAUGGACUCCCCUGACAAGGCAGAUUCUGAGCAGACAGCUCCCUGGCUCUGCACAGUGGGCAAGAAGAGGCAGUCACACCUGACAUAAGCAGUGAAGGACAUCUUCCAGUUUCCAUCUCUUCAUUCUGCUUUUACAUUUUAGGAGCUUCUCAGCUUCAUAGGUUUUGAGAAGACCUUGACAACCACGGAUGCUAAAGGGAUCAGAAACAAUGAGCCAAAGAAUCUAUACUGUGUUUAACUUGUCUGUGUUGGGAUGUUGCCUUUAAGGUCACUGUGGGAGUAGUUUCAAGACAACCUGAGACUGACAAGGACUGGAUCAGAGAUGGAUGCUGUAGUAUAUGCAGUCCUUCAUCCUCCUCCUCAUGCCAGGUCAGAGCUGACUGUGCAGGAUCCUUAGGAGUGCAGCAGACUUGAAGCAGUAGGAUUUCCUAUUCCAUUGAUAAGUAAAGAACAUUUCAAAACAGUCCUUGCAAGUUAGGCUUAUUAGUGGACUCACUUCCUUGACAGCCCCAAAUUUGUUUCAUUGCCUGAUCUUACUAGAAGUCAAAAUUCACCUUGACUUCUCAGGGCAAGGACCUGAUUAAGCUGAAGCCUUCAUCAUACCACAGUGGUUUUACCCUGCUGAUUCUCCAUGUCCCAGUAAUAUGGAGCAUCCACGCAUCAGCAUGUCACCAGCAAUUCCACAUUGCAUUUACGGCACCGGCUGACUUGCAGUGAAGGAGAACCACUAAGAGAUCCUCUUUGCCUGAGGGAGUACUGGAACUAUCCCACCAGCAGCUGGAGUAACACUAGGGCAGAAGUCCCUCCUUCCCCUAGGGAAAUGGAGCUGAGUUGGUUCUUGAAAUGACGGACAGCAUACCUUCAAGGUGGAGUUGAUCUGUACUCAAAACAAUUCCCAUUCAUCCACAUACCUCCUCAGAAGUGUUUGGUGCCUCUUUCAAGUGGGGCCAGCUAGUCAGACCCACAGAAACAUGAGUGCCACUUCCCCAUGCCUGAGAAGUCCCCAGCUCCACAGCAGUGACGUUGGCCAAGUCACCUGCACGAGGUUGGUUACUCCUCCAGUGUGUGUCCAUAAUUACCUCUCCAUGCCCAGAAGGGCAGGCAAGCUCUCCCACAGCUCACAGGAAAUAAUUACAGAGCUGCUCAUCUUCCUGCAGCAUGAAGCUCUUCCUGUUACAUCCCAGAGGCACCAGCAACAUUACUCAUAGUGGGUGAUGUUUCCCAGCGUGAUUCUCUCACCCCGGGUCAGCCAUCCAGCCCAGUCCCACCUGGGGCUAGUCAAGCCCAGGACAGCACAUUGAUGCAGGGGAGCUUGGGAAGAAGGGGAGUAGAGAACAUGGCUCUGGCUGUGGGAAGCAGCCUGUCAAGAAAUGCUUGUUUAAUGCACAGCAGAUUAGCCUGCCUCAGGAAUGAACUGUUUCUGUAAAUCAAAUGGCUUCUCAUGAGUCAGGAGCCCAACCCUUUAUUACAGCGUUGCGUAUUUUCAGAAACGGAUGAAAAAGUAGCAAGCAUUUUGGAGAAGCUGUUUCACACUGCUGUGGGUCUACUUCCAAUUUAUUUGGCUGGUUGCUGUGCCACAUCCACAGCUCCCCAGCUUCACGUGUGGAGUAGCUGGAGGUCGUGCAGCAUGGUGCUGCCGUGGAAGAGGUACCCUCCCAUCCUGAUCCUUCCUUGAUAAAGGAGUUAAAGGCAAAGGCAGGUGACUUCUUGGGCCAGCUUUCCUGAAGAGAUGCCUUCUUAGCAGCUCCACCUGCAGUACUCCUCAUUCUCCUGAUCUGGAGAUGCCUUGAGUCUCCCUUGUUUUCUGCAGGAGUGAAUGUUGGUCUCUGGUGGAGACCCAGCAGCCUCAGAAAGUCUUUUUACCUGCUUAUGGUGGUGCCUUAAGACACAAUACCUGCCUUCAGGAAGUGGGCCUCACAGCCAUGGCAGAGAGCGAGCUUGUGUGUCACUGUGUGUUGUCCUUGUCUGGUGAUAUAUGGUGGUAGCUGAGAGACUACCCUCACCCCAGACCAUAGGUGGGCUGGAAGAAGCUGGGAAGUGGGACCCUCAUUCUUCACUUCCCUAUAGCUCUGCUUUGCGGAGAGAGGUGACUCCCCCCCCCCACCAAUGGAGUCUGUGGCCACCAUGUCUCUCACAAGGCACCAUACAGGCUAUUUUUGUUUGGGUAGUUUAGCACAACAAGCACUAUGGAGAGUGGAGUGGAGUAGCCCAUAGCCUGGAGGCUCGGGAAGACCCUGUGUCCCUGCAAGGUGAUGCACUCUCAACGAUGAGCCCAGAGUGUGGGCCUAGCAGGCUUUUCAGGGCUGGGAAAGUCUGAAUGAGUACUGAGUUGUUUAAAAUAGCUUUAGCUGCCUCAUCAGUCAUCUACUCUCAGUGACAUUGCAGAUGAUACCAAGUAUACCAUGAUCUUUUCAGAAAGAAGCAAGACUAUGAGAGAAGGCUGGGAGAAAAGGCAGAGAGAAAAUAGAGUGUGGCAAGACAGACAUUCUGGAUUGUUUGACGUGUGUAGCCAAAACCUGAAGUCAGUUUAUGGAUCAUCUGUGUACCUCUCUCCCACCAACUGAGCUAUGUCAAGCCUGGGCUCGAAAGGAUUCACCAGCACAGAGGGGCCCAGGCGGUUGCUUUGGCAUCUCUAAGGAAAAAACUUGCUCCAUCCAACCUGUCACUGCUGUGGUAUCAAUAUCAGGCCACACAUUUUUCCCCCAAAGGGUAGUGGGUGAUAAACCUUGUCUUUAUCCACCUGAGUAGGUCUGUCACUUCCCCACCUGUCCCCCAUUUCUCUCACUGUAAAAGGAGCGGUUAACAUCAGUAAUUCAGGGAUUUUUAUUGUUAACAUUUGUUGGUUUUUGUGUACCAGGCUGAGGAGGGAUCUGAGUUCUCAAAACCUUUAAGACCAUGGGUUUCUGUGUAAUGCCAGCACCCAAAGGGAGUGAAAGCCUGGAAAGGGAUACCAGGCAAUCUGUCCACUGCCAUUGUUUGCCAAGAGAACCAAAUCAGUCUUUCUCCUCUGAAUGCUUUUGAGGUCUAUUUCCUAAGAAUGACAUCCACAGAUGUCCUCUGUGGGGGCACUACUGGAAAUGAUCAUGUAGGGCUGAGAAUGCUGAAACUAAAUUUGUAAUACUCAGCUGCUGUAAUCUGCAAACAGUGCUAAGUGCUAGAAAGAGGCAGCAGCCGCCCUCCAAAGCUGUUUUCAAGUACAUAUGAUCAAGAGAGUCACUUGUCAGCCACAGCAGGUGCCCACUUCUGCUCAAACUCAAGGAAGUCAUGAGGGUGAUCACCAUGCAGAUCUUUACAGAAAUACCAUAAAACAUGAGAUGAAAAAUAACUAUUGAGUUGUCUAGUCUAGCCACUUAUCCAUCCCUUAUAAGUACAAAGUGAAUGAUUGGCACCAGAAGACCAAAGGUUUAAAGUAGGGGUGUUUAACUAAAAACAGCAAUAAAGGUAUGAAGAAAGCAACUCUGCUAGCUGCCAGCAUACAAUUCUGGCUUAGCUGCUGCAGUAACAGGAAACAAGGCUACAAAUUACUUUCAUAGCUCUGUAUUUCCAUUUGGUUUAAAAACUACAGCCCAGUUUUCAGAAAAAAUACAUUACAAAACUCAUUACAAAAAUGAGUUUUUAUUAUUUUUAAGCACUGAUUGCAAAUAUAAAUGCAGGUAUGCAGCUGUGUGUAAGGGCCCCUGGGGAUGAACAGCUCCACACAGAAGUGUUUUGGGAAGGCUCUGUAAACAGGUGUUGCUACCCCUGGGUUCACUGAUUCCACAGAGGGCACUCACUGACACAGUGUUUCAUCCUCCUGCAGGAUUUUCUGGGAGGUUUUGGGACAUAGUAAGAUAAGGCAAAGCCUGUGCUGUUCCCAACACAUGGCAAUGCACACCAGGAGCACUACUGGAUGCCGUGCUUCUGCCUGUGAUGAUGGGAUGGGAAACAGGGCAGAGGAGAAGAGCAGCAGCUUGGCAGAUAUCUGUUUGACUGAUACGUGUCCACAGACACCUAGUUAUCCUAUGUAAGAUGUGUGGUGAUGCCCUCCAAGGUUAUUUUGCCUGCAGGUCCCUCUGCUCAGUGCUCUGCUUGUGGGUCAUGCUGAUGAUCUCCAGGUCUGGGAACAGUCACCCUGGGUGCGAAUGCCUGCAGGGAAAAGCUCUCAUCCCCUAGUAUAAAGAUGCAACCCAAAGGAGUCAGCACCCUAUGGGCACCCCUGCCUGCAGACCUUUCUCAGUCUCUUGAGGUGCUGAUGGUGAAUCCUCAACCUCCCCAGUUUCGUGUGUCAGGAAGGUUUAACUUCAAAUUAUUUUCAAGCUGUUGUUUUCCCUGCAGAAAUUUUGCAUUGCUACACAUCCUUGUGUUCAGCAUCUUUGCUUUGUAGUGGCUCUCGUGGUCCGUACUCUGUCAGGAUGCUCAGUUCAAGUGGUUUUCUCCAUACCUAAUCUCUUCAGAUGAGGCUUGGCAAACAAAACUCCCUCUGGGAAAUAAAGGGUUCAGAUUCACCAGGCAAGAGAGACCUCCUAAAGGACUCUUUCAUGUAUAGCCAAAGAAACUAGAGAGUGUCAGAUUUCAAAGGCAAAACACUGCCAUCAGAAAGGUGUACAAGCUCCAUACAGAAGGGACCCUUCACAACUUGGCAGCCUUUGAAUUCAGCUUUUAAAUAAAAUCACUGAAAAAGUGAUGCAAAAGUAAUAACACAUAAGGAAAGGGGAUUUGUUUAUGGAUGAAACUACCUUUCAAUAUAAAAUAAGGUGUCUCUUUUGAUUUAAUGAUAAGCCAAACUCAUAUUUUGUCUUGGGAAAAUGACACAUCAUCCAGCUCACCACUGGGCAGAUGCCUGAGAGACGAGGGUGUUGGUUCUGCUGAGGCUGGAAUUAGCUUCUGUAUCACUGGCAGAUACGGAGGGAAUACGGUUCAUGUCUUGGGCUCCAGCACUUCAUCAGAGAUGAUGGGGUGGAAAGCUGAUGGUGAAUGUAAUUCCUGGGAAUUGUGGACAGCCACACCGAAGCAACAUUGUGCAUGAAACCACAUCCAAGUUAUGCUCCCGUGGCCUGUGGCUCUGCUUCCUGGCCACUGUGCACAUACCCCCACUGUGCCCCAACCCCCUGGGGUGUGUCCCUGGGCUCCCCUGGUCCAUGGGGGGAGUGGCAGCAGCAGGUGUGCACAGACUGGGCUGCAGUUCCCAUGGCGACUGUGGAACUGUGACCCUUGAUGUCAUAAGGUGCCUGCUGGAAGGCUGCAGGAGCACCUGUGGCUCUGCUCACGCGCUCACCACCAAAUGAAAGUCUCAAGGCACCUGAGUUCAUUCAUGCCCUGACACACUUUGCAGCGUGGCAAUGUCGGCGCGCGGUUGCUUUCCGGAAGACACCAGCCAGCACCUGAGGCGGAUACAGCGGCAGGUGAGGCUGCUGGACCUGCGCCUGCAGCUGCUCCGUGAGAAGCUGCUUGCAGCCCGCCUGCAGAGGAUGAUGACCUGUCACCGCUGCUGCCUGCAACUGCCCGAACCCCGGCCCCCGGCACGAAGAGCCCUCCCCGCAAGGGUGGAUGUGGAGCGACGAAUCAACAGAAUACAAAGAUUUAGCAGGACAUUGAGUUCAUCGCAUAGUCAUUGUCAUUUGGCUUUGAUCGACAUGAAGGAUUUUGAGCCCAGGGAUGUCAGUGUGGAGGUGAAGGAUGGGAAGGUGACGGUGUUAGCAGAGCACAGGGAGGAGCGCAACACCCCAGUGUUAAAGACAUGUAACUACAGAAAAUUCAUGAAGGAGUUCAACCUGCCACCAGGGGUGAGCGACGACGAGGUGACCUACUCUCUGGAAUCCAACAGCAUGAUGAAGAUUGAAACGGCACCCAAGGGCUGCCCUCAGCUCCAGGACUACUGAGCUGAACCCAGGCACAGUCAUUCCUCUGCCACAUCCCUUCUACCCACCAGCUUUAAGUCUGUCCUGCUAACUGUGCGCUAACAACUUCUCUCACCUCUUCCAAAAAAGAAGACAGCACUCUGA